AACGAACGCUGGCGGCAGGCCUAACACAUGCAAGUCGAGCGCCCCGCAAGGGGAGCGGCAGACGGGUGAGUAACGCGUGGGAAUCUACCCGAUGGUACGGAAUAGCCCAGGGAAACUUGGAGUAAUACCGUAUAAGCCCGCAAGGGGAAAGAUUCAUCGCCAUCGGAUGAGCCCGCGUUGGAUUAGCUAGUUGGCGGGGUAAUGGCCCACCAAGGCGACGAUCCAUAGCUGGUCUGAGAGGAUGAUCAGCCACACUGGGACUGAGAAACGGCCCAGACUCCUACGGGAGGCAGCAGUGGGGAAUAUUGGACAAUGGGCGCAAGCCUGAUCCAGCCAUGCCGCGUGAGUGACGAAGGUCUUCGGAUUGUAAAGCUCUUUUGGCGGGGACGAUAAUGACGGUACCCGCAGAAUAAGCCCCGGCUAACUUCGUGCCAGCCGCCGCAGUAAAAC
rnacentral:rRNA from 1 species